rnacentral:rRNA from 1 species
GAUGAACGCUGGCGGCGUGCUUAACACAUGCAAGUCGAACGGUGAAGGCGGAGCUUGCUCUGCUGGAUCAGUGGCGAACGGGUGAGUAACACGUGAGCAAUCUGCCCCUGACUCUGGGAUAAGCGCUGGAAACGGCGUCUAAUACUGGAUACGAGCUGCGAAGGCAUCUUCAGCAGCUGGAAAGAAUUUCGGUCAGGGAUGAGCUCGCGGCCUAUCAGCUUGUUGGUGAGGUAAUGGCUCACCAAGGCGUCGACGGGUAGCCGGCCUGAGAGGGUGACCGGCCACACUGGGACUGAGACACGGCCCAGACUCCUACGGGAGGCAGCAGUGGGGAAUAUUGCACAAUGGGCGAAAGCCAGAUGCAGCAACGCCGCGUGAGGGACGACGGCCUUCGGGUUGUAAACCUCUUUUAGCAGGGAAGAAGCGAAAGUGACGGUACCUGCAGAAAAAGCGCCGGCUAACUACGUG